GGCGGGGCAAGGUCCCUCAGCCUGGAUUGUGAGAGGGUGCAGGCCAGGCUGAGGGAUCACACUGUUGCACG
rnacentral:pre_miRNA from 1 species